UACAUAAUCAUUCAUUAUCUUUACAAUUAACCAUCUAAAGCUACCACAGUUCUUUAAUCAAAGUAUAUAUCUACAUAUAUACAGAGAGUACACUUCAUAAUUUCGUCCCUUGUCUUUCGUAAACGUAGCAUGAAAAUUUGAUACCCAAUAUUGUAAGGCAGGUCGUAGAAGCAGUCUUCCUGCACAUAUUUAAAAAUAAUAGCAAGUCAGGAAAAUGAAGCAAAUAGGUCACCAGAGGCACUUAAUUCCAAAAUCAAUACACAAAGACAAUAAAGUUGCUACGUGAUACUAAUAUUAUUAAACCAACAGACCACCCACACUAUUUAUUAAAUGACUGAGCAUAUAGAAAGAUUCCAGAGUCCUUUAACUGACAAAAUAAAAUGCCUUAAACAAGAUAACAUGAAGUACGUACUAGUUUGACAAACAUACACAAGAUGGUACCAUGUGCAAUGUGCAUGUAUAAGAUUACAACAACUAUGAAAAAGAUACACCUGCUCUAUGUGUCCAACUUUGAAGUAACUAUUAUGUGAAAAAAAACUAAAUCUUCUAUUACACUUUGCACACAGUUCUGUAUGCCUAUUUACACGGUCCUUGAUUUUUAUUUUGACAAACUCAAAAUUAGUAAAUCUGGACAAACAACAUACAAUUUAAUACACAAUUAACGACGAAAAACUCACAACUCUAGAAGGGUACAGGCGUGUGGGGGCAUAAAGCACUUGCUCUUACCAAUAUCAUUACCAUCUACCUUGAGUUGCAGAAACUAAGAUUAAGAGAAAAGAAAAAUUGUUACAAGUUACUACAAAAGUUUCUAUGAAGCCGCAACCGGAGCUCAAUUGUUAGUAACUACUUUACAUCGACCAGGUAUAAGAAAUGAAUGUCAAAACUGAAAUAUUAAAACGUAUGCACAAUCAAAAGUUUACAUACUUUGUCAUUUUCAUGAAGCUGGAACAAAGGAACCACAAGCAAUUUUUGAUUUUUCGGUACAAUGAACUUUCUACUUUCUGGCAACUUCACAAGAAAGAGUUUUCUACACUCCUACAAUAUCAAGACAAGCACAUAAUGAACACCACUUGCAGAUUUUAUGACACAAGCUUACCUUUGGACUAAUCAUAUUAGAUGGCAAGUACGGAUAAAACAAUGUUUCAAAGUUAGAUCUCCACGACUUGCUGAGGCAUUCUCCUACCUAAACAUUGAGAAUUAUUGCAUUUACAAAUAUAAUAAAACAGAAUUGUCUUAACUAGAAUUCAUAUAUCUCCCAGUCAGACCCAGUGCCAUCACAAUGUUCGGAUAGCUUGUUUGAAAGUUUGCACCUCAAACCAUCAAUGUCUUCAAAACAAUAAUAAAUAUAAUUCUUUGACCCUUGCAAUAGUUUCUAGUGGAUUUAUCAACUACAAAAAUUGACAAUUUAAAUAAUGGAAAUAGAUAUAACAAACAAUUGAUUUAUCUCCUGUAACUCCUCGACGGUGUCUUAAAGUUCCACAUUGCGGUUAUACACCUCGUCGUACACACGGGCAGCUAUCGAACCAAGUGGAAGCUCUUCCUCCUCUUCCUCCUCAUCCGACUGUGGAAACUUAACAGGAUCCUCCUCGUCCGUCUCUAUCUCAUCAUCCUCAUCAGGUACUCUCUCCUGCUCAACUACUGUGACCGACGGAACUAUUUCCCGUGGCAGUAGUUGUUCCCAAAUCACCUGAAUAUCUCGAGGCUCCUCCUCUCUAGCCUGAUUGGAUCCUCCUACAUUAGCCAUCCUGCCAACCAAAUUUUAAGUUUUAAUUACUAAUCAUUACUACUCGACACUCACGAGCACAUAAGUUGUAAUCACAUAAGCACAUAAGUAUUUUAUUACUUUCUCUUUCCUAAAAGUCGAUAAGAGUUUAUCAUUACUAUCUUUUCAAAGGUUACUUCUUAAGGCUUUUCCCCCACUUAAGGUUCAUAACCUAAGGCUUUGAUACCAACCUGUGACACCCCCAAAUCUCGGUACUUCAUUCCCACAAGAUUUGGUGCUCACUAUCCAAACAUUCAUACUAUCUACCCAAAUAAAUAAUAUUUAAAUCAUACACCCUUCCCUUAAAUAGGGUUACAUUCAAAAUUAAUCCCAGGUUAUCUAACCUUUAAACAUCAUUCAAGUGCGGAAAUAAAAUUUAUUACAUCACAUCAUUAUUAAAAAGUCUGAGAUCAUCAUAAUAAAUAAAAGUACAAAUCAGCAUCACUUGUACAAUUUUCCCUUUCCUUUGCUAGUUGAAGGUUCAUCUACCUUCUCCACUUUGGCUGUAAUGAGUAUAUAAAUAUGUAAGAGUGAGCAAAACAAUUGUUCACUGGAUAUAAUAAAAAAAUCAACAUGAAAAUAACAAUAAUAACUGCCAACGAAUAGGCUCAUCAAAACUGAAUAGUACUCUAUCAAUGAUAAUCAGGAACUGGAAUCCAAAAUAUGGAAUAUACAUAACUGAGGGUCAUAAGACCAUGAACUAUGUCCACAGUUGCGAGUAAUCUUUCAACUCCAACUUUAACAGUCAUAAGACUAUAAGGACUCCUCGUACUUAGGGGGAUCAGUCCUUCGUACAAUGUAUUGUGCACAAACAUUUUAACGCUAUGCGUAAAUUAUCCCCUAAUAAUAAUAGGGUUGUUCAUCUCAGUAUUUAGAGUACAAGUCUGCACCAAAGAAAGUUUGGUUUGGAUAAGCUUUCAAGGGUAAUUUGAAGUUUAACGAACAUCAACUAGAGGACUAGUUGAAUCAAUAGUGUUUGAUAAUUACAACAUAACAUAGAACAAUUGAGAAUCAUAAAUGAACUGAUUAUACAUAUUAAACUCAUGCUUAAAAUAACUAUAGAGCAUAAGUACUCAACAAAAUGAAUAAAGUGAUAAACCUUUGCUUGAACAGAACAUAUGCUAAGGUUAGAGUCUUAUAACAUUAGAAAUGAAAUUACUGAACAUACAUUGAAUGAUAGCAAGCUGGAAACUAAAAACUUGCCCAACAUGGUAUUAAUUCAUGCAAGGAUUAAAAAUAGUUCAAUAAUAGAGACGAGAGUUCAAACUGUGUUCAUUAUAAAAGAAUAUAACUCAAGAACUUGCUUAAUCAGAAACAAGUUAGAAUGAAUCAACAAAAAUGAGAAUUCAAAUAACAUUAGAGUUAAUGUUUGCUCGAAUGAACUAUAGGGCCAAUUGACUUAUUCAAUCAACAGUUGAAAUAGAAAGCUUGCUCAAUCAAAGAAUAAAGCUACAUAAUGUAAUAAUGGAACUAGCUCAACGAAAUUAAAGAAUUAGGAAACUUUCUCAAUGUAAAAGAUAGAGUUUAGAAACUUGCCUCGAGCGUAAGCUACAAUAUUAAACUCACGUUCACCUACACAUUGGUUUAGAACCACAUUAUCUAUUAGAUAUGCUAAAAUACCAUAACAUGUACACUUCUAUCUAAACGUAUCAUUGAAGCACAAGUCUUUCAUUACCAUUUAUAUUUCCAAAAUUCCAAGUGUUAUACUUCGCAACAAUUAUCUAACAUUCAUUGUAUAUACUAAGUUAUCACAAAAUGCGUUCUCGAUUUACUAAUCACUUUUAAAAUUUUGAAUUCAUAAUCCACAUAACAUGACCCUAUUUAACCUUGUUGUUACAUGAUUCUAACAUUACCAUAACCUUUAGCUACACUACAAAGAACGACCAAAGUCUGCAGAAAAAAAAAAAACAGACUUCAGUGUCUGAAAAUGGGCACUCGCGCGAGUUUUGUAUGGGGAUGCCGCGCGCCCGCGCCCAAGGGUCUCGCGGCCACGCGACUUACGGAACUCAGUUUGCAGAACAGAGCUUUGACACUUUUCUUAAGCCAACUAACACGAAUUUCACCAAUCAAACAGUGAUAAUAACACAUAAAAUAAAUAUACAACUAUCAUAGACAUGGUUGCUAACCUAUUCAACCACUUAGCACAAUUUAACAGUAACUAAAACUAUUUUAAUUUCUCAAUUCUCAUGUUUUUCAUAUAAAACUCCAUUUUUUGAUAUUCAUCCCAAAAAUUAUCACUGUGAAUUCAAUACAUGACCAAAUCAUCUAAUUCAAAUUACGUUAUGCUCGUAUCUCAAUGAACUAACAUAUACGAACUUCAAUUUAUAAUUUAACAUAUGAAUUAGCCAAUAAAAUUGAUACUUAUUCAAACCACAUGAAGAACAUAAACACUGACAUUAUAUUUUUCCUACUGUCAAACAAUUUAGCAUGCAAUUUCCUUGUUUGAACAUUACUUCAGCAUUACAAACAUGUAUAACCACAAUUAUCAACUAUAUAUGUCCAUAAUUCAACAAUUGAUUUUUACAGAACAUAAGAAAAUUCUUGCCGUGAAAUACAUAUACACAUAUACAUUAUCACGAUUAUGAACAUACCUUUUGUUGCUUGACAAAAAUUCUUGCUAAGCACACUGGAAUUGACGUGAAAAUUCCUAGACUCCUCUCCAAUUCUCUCUCAAGUUCUCAAUUCUCUGAACUCUAGACUUAGCCAAGUAUGCGUAAAGAAAAACUGAUAUGACCAAACGUAAGAACAAAACUGCUAAUUUUUAAUACGCUUACUAAUUGUAAUAACAGUUACAACAUAAACGUAUACAAUAUAAAUAUAUUAUAUUUAUUAUUUUAUUUAUUUUAUUUAAAUUUAAAACUUAGAAAUUCAAAUGCCAUAAGGCUUGUUUGGCAAAAACCCUUUAAAUUUUAAAGAAUUAAAAUACCUUUAAACCUUGUUUGGCAAAAACUAAUUUAAAUCCUUUUUAAUUUAUUUACAUAAACACUUUAGUUUAUAAAUUAUAAUCACCUAUUAUUUAUUUGGAUCUUCAUAUCCAAUAUUAAUCAAUUAAAUUAAUCACAUAUUAUAUUUUAAUUAAAUAUAACCUUUUAGCAAAUAUCACAAAAUUAUAAUUCAUGUUAUAAUUUUAUUUGAUAAUUUAAUAUACCAUACCAUAUUAAAUUAUUAGCCCCAAUAUAACACCUCAUGUUAUAAUACAAAUCUCUAAAUUAUAAAUUAAUUUAAUUUAGAAAUUAUCUAAUAAAUUCAGAUUUAUAAAUAUUUAUUAACGACCAUAACAUCAAUAAUUAUUUAUUCAACAAUAAACACCUCCAAAUAAAUAUUUAUAUAAUCAAUAAAUAUUUAAAUUACAAUUUAAAAUUUUGGAUCAUUACAUCCUUCCCUCCUUACAAGGAUUCUGUCCCCAGAUCACAAUUCAAACAAUCAAAUCGUCACACCCUACCUUCAUCCGAUGCAUACACCCGGUUUGACAAAUCCCUCUUAUAACAAUGGAUUCUAUACAUAAUUAAGAACAAACAUAUAAGAAUAAAACAAUCAAAGCAGAACAAACAAAUCCCAGAAAUUGGUAGUAGCAACCAAGAAAAUACCUUCUGGGAAUAUCAAAACGUUCAUAAGAAACCUGUAAUCACAAUUUUUCAGUUGGGAUCCCCUAUAUUAUAUAUAUUCCCUACGAAUUAUAUAUACCAAGGAAAUAAUAUUGAAAAGUGUGGUCACAAAUCACAAUACUACAUUUAAAAAACCCUUCCAACAACCAUUCCGCAAUAAUACCCUGCGCACAGAGAUGAUAAAAUUAGAAGGUAGCCAAUUUAUAUGGUGGCACAACCCGGUAAGAGUUUGAAAAAUGACACACGCACACACACACAACUGAAUUAAUGUUAAGAGAUUAACAAAUAAAAAAUUUCACCUUGCAGUCUGUAGCAAAUAAAAAUUACAUCCACUAAGAAUUAGUCGGUAUUAAAGUUCAUACUGAAAAAGCAUACAUAAAAAUAGCUUCUUAGACUAAUAUCUGUCUAUAUAUAGUAUUGGAAGUUUUCUCUCUCUAUAUGUAUGGAUAUCCCAUGGAGGAUAAAAUUAAUAAAUUUAGUACCUCGAUCAGAAAGUCAAAUCAAAUUCUUUCCUUUUGAUGAUUAUAGCCUCUCGUUCUUCAUGUAUUUAAUUUGGUAGAUGCUUCGAUUCCUAGCAAUACCGCACAGAAGAACAUAAAUCUCCCUCUAUAUCUCUCUAUACUAUGAAAAAACAAUAAUAUCAAAAUUUACUUGACAGAUUUAUGAUGAUUCAAUAUUUACUACAGGAACCGAGACAAAGAUCAUAUACUAUAUCAAAAGGCACAAGAAACAUAUAUGACGAAUAACAUGCAGAACUCUAGACAAACAGUACGUACUUAUAUCUUCAAGUAAGAGUAAAAGAGUCGGAAGCUUACCUUCAAACUUGAAAUAAGAGCAAUUAAGUUUUUUUUCCUUUGCCUUCUCCUGUAAAAUAAAUGGCCCCAAUGGAGAAUUCUCCUUUCCUUUUGUAUUUAAGUUAAUUCGUUAUACUGAAUUAAUUCUUGCGAUAACUUGUCCUCCUAGCUCAAACCCUUUUCCUAUUGUGGCAUCUCUCUCUUUAUAUAUCUAUCCUUGCAAUAAUUAAUAAGCGUGUUUCCAUAGAAAAACAUUGAAAUAGUUGAUUUGUUAGAACUAAUAUUGUUAAUACUAACUUAUUUAUAAUUAGAGGUCUAAUUAAGUAGUUUAAGAAAUAGAGAGAACUAUAAUAGUAGUAAUAUGACUAGUUUGUCCUCAUAUCAUAUCAUACUACAAUAAUUCGUAGGAUAUAUAUAUAUAUAUAUAUAUAUAUAUAUAUAUAUAACAUGCUUUGAGUUGAACUAAUUUUUCAGUUUAGCAAACAUCAUGCAUCCAUGAUGCCUAGACAAAGAUCAAUAAAUAUCUUGAGCAAUAAAGGUUAAUUUUUUAUAAAUAAUAAUAAUAAUUUAAUUUUUUUCAAAAAAAAAUUGCUCAACACCUGCAUACUAAUAUAGAGAUAUCUCAAGUUCAAAUAGAGAACCAACAAAAGCAACACUUACAUUUUAGCAGAAGAAUCAUGAUUUGAAUCUUCAUCUGCUCCCUGCAGUCAAGAAGCAAUAUCUCUAAGAAUACAGAAAAUGAAACAAAUAGGAAACAACAAAUAGGAAGCAAUGUAUGCUCAGCCACUAGCUUACCCGCAUGGUUCUAUCAUUGACAAACCCCCACUUUUCUUUCUGAAGAGCUAGUAUUUCUUCAUUGCCAUCAGUAUAUAAUACCUAUUACAGAUACCAAAAAUUGUAUAAAAUUCAUUAGCACUUCAAGACAAAUUAAGAACGCUGCACUUACAUAUCAGUAAUACCCAAAUAACUAUCUAAACCGAAUGGGUACCUUAUGCUUCUUCUUGUGAGGAUCAAAGGAAACAACUUCAAAUACAGAAUUUGCACUCCGACACCCUUCUAAAAUUAGUCCUAGUAGUUUUUUUGAAACAAAAGAAGCCCAUAGAUUGUAUCGAAUUAAGUUACCCCAAAAUCAAAUAUAGAAUUUACACAUUAUUAUCUGGAGAGAUUAAAAUUAAUGCCCUAAAUAAACUUACUCACCACUUCAUAGCAGAUAAAAAAAUAGUGUUCAAAAGAUGUUAAUAGAAAAUAGGGCAGGUCAUUGUUUAAGGACUCAUUCAGAAUACCCUUCAUUGUAUUAAGGUCAAAAGGACAUACCUUUUUAUAAAACCUUACAUGCAUAAAAUUGUGCCUACGUAUCUUACUCAAGAAUUGAAACUUAGUAGGCAAAUAGCACAAUGGACAGAUUUUACUUAAAGUCUAAACAGUUAAUCACUGAGUCAUCAAGAGGAAAGAUAUAGUGAUUAAUCUUUGGGAAAUUUAGCAUACAAGGGUCAAGGUCAAACGCUUCAAGCAAAAUAGUCUGAUCUAACACUAUUUUCCUACCUUACACAUAAGUAGCUAUACUAUGCAAAGUGCCAACAUCUUUUAUAAAUUCCAUAUGAUCAUAAAACUCACUAACUAAAUCCAGAUAAACACACCUACUUGAAAAAGAAAUUAGAUAAACACAACCAAUUUUCUUCAAAUUGACAAGCAAAUCAGGAUGAGAAUGAAAAAUAAUAGUAGGCCCAGUCAUGAAAUUAUACUUCAUUGCAUUAUACUUUAACUGAGCAAAUUCAGUUAGCAUGUUGGGAUCAAUUAAUGGUGUUGACAUUUUGGUUCUUUUAGAAGAAGAAGGGACAGAAAAAAAAGUGGGUUCAUAGGGAAUUAUAGCUGAUAUGGUAGAAGAUAUAAUGGUAGUAUACUAGCAUUUUUAAGCAGAUAGAUAUAUUUAUACACAAGUUCAUAUAGGAGUGGUCAUGUCAAAGUAAGGCUUUACCCAAGCAUGCAUUUCAGAAGAGAAGAGUAGGCAUGACAUAAUCCUUGAUCUGAUUUUUAGAAAUAAUUUUAAACAUUAUUCACAUAGUUCAUACAUAAUGUGUCAAUUAAAUCGAAUUUGAACAAGAAAAAUCAUAAUCAACCAUACAAACAAAUGAUAGUCGAAACAUUAAAUUUUGUCGCAUAUUUAACAUUUUGAACACACAUCUUGUUUCAAACAGAGUUUGGUUCAAAUACUAAAAUGAAAUUUUUAUACCUAGAUUACACAACAAAAGUAUCAAUUCAAAUAAAUACUAAAUAAAAGAUAUUAAAUAAUGAUCAUAACUUAAAACUCAAGAGUGAUAAAUCAAACACAAAUGAACAUAAACAUAUCUAAAAUACAAAACAAAGUCUCAACUAAAUUAGUAAAAUAAAAUUUAUGACACUUAAUUCACAAGAAGCAUAAAUCUAGAAGGUGUUGCUUCUUGCCAAUUUAAAGAUUUGUUUCAAACUAAUGAAUCAAACACUUUGAGCAUACAUUAAAAAGGCUCAUACAUACUCCUUAUAAUCUCAAAAAUGACAGACUAAAAGUUACCAUCCCUUAACCCAGUUAAGAGUAAAGAUCAUCAAAUUACCAGAAGAUGAAACUAUAUUGAUAAAUGACCCACAAAAAUGAGAGAAAAUCAAAAACCUAUAAUUACUGGAAAUCAUGAUUAACAAGGCUAUAUAUUCCAAAUUUCCAAUAGAAAACAGAGGUUGUCCACAACAAAAAAAUAAAAAUAAAGUCCCCAAAUCCAAUCUUCAUUUGUGUACAUACACGCAAUUAUUUUGCGAUGAAAAUCCAAUCACGACAAACAUCAAGAAAUCAGAGCAACUAAGAAAGACACAUAUUUAGUUUAUAAUCACCGAGAAUUGUAUAUAAAAUUAUAAAUUUCUAGAUAAAUAUAAAUAUAAUUAAAUACCUGGUGUGGUCCUUGGAAGAGGUUGUGGUGGAAAAAUUAAGGCGAUGAUGAGCAGAAAUAUCUGCAGUGUUGAGAAUAAUGGAAACAUCAUCAUCCUCCUCGGGAACUAGGGUAGGGGCAAAAAGGUUGGGGCGGUAGGCUCGCCACUCGCGAUUGGGCUGGGGAAGAGUAAUACGCAACUGGGCUGGAGAAGGGGUAGGCCACGAGUCGCGACUGGUUGCGUUAGGGGUGCCUAUUGGCGGUGAGUUGUGAGAGAGAUGAUGGCAGAUUUGGGCGCAACGGCAGUUAGGAGUAGAAGCAAAACUGAAGGGCUCAGGCUGAAGGCUGAAGGCGUACACAACUCCUGAUUAUAAUAGGAACUCGUUU
rnacentral:lncRNA from 1 species